rnacentral:rRNA from 1 species
CCUACGGGAGGCUGCAGUGGGGAAUAUUGCACAAUGGGGGAAACCCUGAUGCAGCGACGCCGCGUGAGUGAGGAAGUAUUUCGGUAUGUAAAGCUCUAUCAGCAGGGAAGAAAAUGACGGUACCUGACUAAGAAGCACCGGCUAACUACGUGCCAGCAGCCGCGGUAAUACGUAGGGGGCACGCGUUAUCCGGAUUUACUGGGUGUAAAGGGAGCGUAGACGGUUAAUCAAGUCAGAAGUGAAAACCCCGGGCUCAACCUUGGGACUGCUUUUGAAACUGAGUAGCUAGAGUGCAGGAGAGGUAAGCGGAAUUCCAAGUGUAGCGGUGAAAUGCGUAGAUAUUAGGAGGAACACCAGUGGCGAAGGCGGCCUACUGGACUGUGACUGACGUUGAGGCGCGAAAGCGUGGGGAGCGAACAGGAUUAGAUACCCCAGUAGUC